rnacentral:rRNA from 1 species
GGAGCUUGCUCCACCGGAAAAAGAAGAGUGGCGAACGGGUGAGUAACACGUGGGUAACCUGCCCAUCAGAAGGGGAUAACACUUGGAAACAGGUGCUAAUACCGUAUAACAAUCAAAACCGCAUGGUUUUGAUUUGAAAGGCGCUUUCGGGUGUCGCUGAUGGAUGGACCCGCGGUGCAUUAGCUAGUUGGUGAGGUAACGGCUCACCAAGGCCACGAUGCAUAGCCGACCUGAGAGGGUGAUCGGCCACAUUGGGACUGAGACACGGCCCAAACUCCUACGGGAGGCAGCAGUAGGGAAUCUUCGGCAAUGGACGAAAGUCUGACCGAGCAACGCCGCGUGAGUGAAGAAGGUUUUCGGAUCGUAAAACUCUGUUGUUAGAGAAGAACAAGGAUGAGAGUAACUGUUCAUCCCUUGACGGUAUCUAACCAGAAAGCCACGGCUAACUACGUGCCAGCAGCCGCGGUAAUACGUAGGUGGCAAGCGUUGUCCGGAUUUAUUGGGCGUAAAGCGAGCGCAGGCGGUUUCUUAAGUCUGAUGUGAAAGCCCCCGGCUCAACCGGGGAGGGUCAUUGGAAACUGGGAGACUUGAGUGCAGAAGAGGAGAGUGGAAUUCCAUGUGUAGCGGUGAAAUGCGUAGAUAUAUGGAGGAACACCAGUGGCGAAGGCGGCUCUCUGGUCUGUAACUGACGCUGAGGCUCGAAAGCGUGGGGAGCAAACAGGAUUAGAUACCCUGGUAGUCCACGCCGUAAACGAUGAGUGCUAAGUGUUGGAGGGUUUCCGCCCUUCAGUGCUGCAGCUAACGCAUUAAGCACUCCGCCUGGGGAGUACGACCGCAAGGUUGAAACUCAAAGGAAUUGACGGGGGCCCGCACAAGCGGUGGAGCAUGUGGUUUAAUUCGAAGCAACGCGAAGAACCUUACCAGGUCUUGACAUCCUUUGACCACUCUAGAGAUAGAGCUUCCCCUUCGGGGGCAAAGUGACAGGUGGUGCAUGGUUGUCGUCAGCUCGUGUCGUGAGAUGUUGGGUUAAGUCCCGCAACGAGCGCAACCCUUAUUGUUAGUUGCCAUCAUUCAGUUGGCCAUUCUAGCAAGACUGCCGGUGACAAACCGGAGGAAGGUGGGGAUGACGUCAAAUCAUCA